rnacentral:rRNA from 1 species
UACGUAGGUGGCAAGCGUUGUCCGGAAUUAUUGGGCGUAAAGCGCGCGCAGGGCGGUCCUUUAAGUCUGAUGUGAAAGCCCCACGGCUCAACCGUGGAGGGUCAUUGGAAACUGGGGGACUUGAGUGCAGAAGAGGAAAGCGGGAAUCCACGUGUAGCAGUGAAAUGACGUAGAAGAUGUGGAGGAAUACCGAUGGCGAAGGCAGCCCCCUGG